CGGGGCGUGGCGCAGUUUGGUAGCGCGCUUGGUUCGGGACCAAGAGGCCGUGGGUUCGAAUCCCGUCGCCCCGA
rnacentral:tRNA from 1 species